AUGGAAGCAUGCCAUCCAAAGAGUCUUCUAGAAGCUCAGACCCCAGACCAGUGGCAGUAAGGAAUGGGACAUAUGAAUGCUGCACCUCAGCUAGGACACACCUCCCUUCCCACCACCACCCCCCAAAUCACUUUGUUCCCCGUCCCCCUCUCUCUUCAAUGUCUUCCACAUUCCCCUGCCUUCCUUUCAGGCUAGUAACUCCCAGAUCCCAGUCCCUCUGGGAGGGCUGAAUCUGCUUGUUCAUGGGUUGGGAGCUACCAGGGGAAGUCAGGGACACCACCAAGGGGACCAUCUGCCUCUCACACUGCCAGUCCUGCUCAGGCCUCAGAAAGUCACAAUCAAGGACCAACACACAACAUCCUUCCUGAAACCCAGCAUCCAGUAUGCAAAUUAAGUAUCCCCAAGCUGACUCGGAGUCUAUUUUUCUAUCAGAGAACAAAGUCCCCUGCUCCCACCACAUUCCCAUACCCUCCACACUUCAAGAUUGGAUUCUGAGCUUAGACCUGGGGUACCCCGCUCCACCUCUCAGUCUUUAGGGGAACCUCAUCAAUGGACUGAGAGGAAAACUGGGAUGUUGGGGGGCAUGGUUUCCACCUCUCCCUCCAACCUACACCAAGUCCUACCUCCCUGCCCAUGUGUGUCAUUUCAAGGAAAAAAAGAAUAAAUUUUCUAAGCUAUUA